CUUUUCCUCCACUCAGCGAGCCUGAGAGUGCGGAAGUCUCCGGCUGGUGGGGCAUGGCCCAGGAGCAGUGCAAGUCCUAGGGUUCCCAAACCUGUGGGGUGGCCGCCUCGGCCCGCGAGGGCGGGAAGGGCUCAUGUACAGUGACCCAGCGGGAGCUGUGUGUGAACGGGAAAGCUCUUGGAACAGUCUUGCCACCACCCCCCCCCCCUUACGGGCGCCUCUUCUCUUUUUGGGAACGUGGCGAGCAAAAAAUGCUUGAGCCAGUUUACAAAGAAAAGGAGUCGGAGCCAGGGCGGUCAUGUGGGACGUGGAUGCAGACGCAGGCGGAGGCGCCAACUGCGGGGAUGGCUAGGGUGAUCACAGCUGCCCCGGGGGCGCGGACACCCCGGCAGCUCCAGCCAGCGGAGCUCCCCCACCGCACGUGUCAGGUCCUAGCAGAAACGCAGCGUCUGUGGCCAGGGGCCAGGAAUGCGGCCGCACAUAGUCACCCUCAGCGUGCCUUUCCCGACCCCCUUAGAGGCGGAAAUUGCCCAUGGGUCCCUGGCUCCAGAUGCCGAACCCCACCAAAGGGUGGUUGGGAAGGAUCUCACAGUGAGCGGCAGGAUCCUGGCCGUCCGCUGGAAAGCUGAAGACUGUCGCCUGCUCCGAAUUUCCCUUAUCAACUUUCUCGACCAUCUUUCUCUGGUGGUGCGGACCCUGCAGCACUUUGGGCCCCCAGUUUCCCGCUAAGCCUGGCCUGGGAAAAUGGGGCGAGGUCUAACCUUGCGUCUCCUCCUAGGCAGUGCAUCCAUCCUCCCUAGGGCAGGGAAUUCCCACAGUUGCUACUUUCCCGGGAGGGCCUCAUGGUCGGCCUGUACUGCCUUUGUGUGCUCAGGGGUCCCUUGUUUUCUCUGGUUCUUAAAUGUUUG
rnacentral:lncRNA from 1 species